rnacentral:lncRNA from 1 species
GUGUGUGUGUAUGUGUAUGCUUGUGCAUGUGUGUGUAUUGAUAAAUGUGGUAUACUAUUCGAAAUACAACUCUGAAAGAAAAAAAAAAUUUUCUCCAUCGAUUUGAUUCUGCUGAGUAUUGGAUAUUUGAUGUUAGAUGCUGUUGCAAUGCUAAACUUUUCAACUAUUAGUUUUUCAGGAUAUUCAAAACAUUUUCAAUAUAUGCAAGUUGAGGUAAAACAGUUAUCAUUAAUUAGCGGUAAAAAAUCGAGUAGAUACAAUUAAAAAUAUUUUGCUCUUACUACCAACAGACACUAUUUUGUCCGAAUACAGCAUGAAUGGUCUAAAGAAGAAAAAAAAGUUUAAAGAAUUGACAAGUCUAUGUAAUGCUGAAACUGCUUUAAAGUCAAAUAAAAACAAAAUGGAUGCCAUCCAUCCAACUUAUUGGGAGAGUAAUUAGGAAUUCUUCUGACCGAUUAAAGAAAACAUCCACUAAUAUGAAUAUCAAUCAAUGAUCGGCUUAA